rnacentral:rRNA from 1 species
AAUAGAUACCCUGGUAGUCCACGCCGUAAACGAUGAGUGCUAAGUGUUAGAGGGUUUCCGCCCUUUAGUGCUGCAGCUAACGCAUUAAGCACUCCGCCUGGGGAGUACGGUCGCAAGACUGAAACUCAAAGGAAUUGACGAGGGCCCGCACAAGCGGUGGAGCAUGUGGUUUAAUUCGAAGCAACGCGAAGAACCUUACCAGGUCUUGACAUCCUCUGACAACUCUAGAGAUAGAGCGUUCCCCUUCGGGGGACAGAGUGACAGGUGGUGCAUGGUUGUCGUCAGCUCGUGUCGUGAGAUGUUGGGUUAAGUCCCGCAACGAGCGCAACCCUUGAUCUUAGUUGCCAGCAUUUAGUUGGGCACUCUAAGGUGACUGCCGGUGACAAACCGGAGGAAGGUGGGGAUGACGUCAAAUCAUCAUGCCCCUUAUGACCUGGGCUACACACGUGCUACAAUGGAUGGUACAAAGGGCUGCAAGACCGCGAGGUCAAGCCAAUCCCAUAAAACCAUUCUCAGUUCGGAUUGGU